rnacentral:lncRNA from 10 species
AUAUGAUUAAGGCUUAGUUAGUUCCCGCCCUCAAGAAGUAAAAGUGAAGUGCACAGUUCAGUUAAAAUCACAUGCACAGUGAGACUUUGGUAAGGAGUGGAGGAAGAAAAGAAUGAACCUAGAGAUAGAAAUCAUUUCCUCAUGUGUAAGCUGCCGCCUGCAUCUGGCCUGCUGGGGUGUCUGGCAGUGGUGGCUAUUUCACUGAUAUAUGUUGGGGUCAAGGACUUGAUAAGCUUAACCCACACUUCCGCCCACCUCCGAAUCCAACC